rnacentral:lncRNA from 1 species
GUUAAUGAUGAAGACUUCAAACAAAAUGUCCUGCCGAUCUUCUCUCCAGCUUCUGAAUCAGUUCAGCUGAAGAGUGUCCAGAGAUAUCAAUGAUGUUCUGGCAUUUCUGCAAGAAUGUCCUCUCCACCCAUCUUGACCUGUAAUCACUGGUUUCCUCCAAUGCUUCCAGUAACAGAGAAGUCACUACUUCCUAUUCCACUGAGUCCAUAUCCAUCCCUGGAAAAAUCCUUACCAGCUGGUUCUGGUUCUGCCUCCUGAACUGCCUCCUGAACUGGAAGUCUACUUCUUACAUCCACAGAGCAGCACUAUUUAAAGGGACAUCUUCACAUGAGAUGGAAGGGCCAGCCAAAGAGAACAACUUGACUUCAGCUUCCCCUGUCUGAUUACCUAAAGCAAGUUACAUAGAACUUGGCUAGGGCAUAAACCAACUUCCUACCCACCUAUAUGGAGUGAUUAUACAUCAAUAAACUGGGCUCUCAAAAUAUGCAUACUAAAGCCAGG